rnacentral:rRNA from 1 species
GACGAACCGUGCGAACGUUAUUCGGAAUCACUGGGCUUAAAGCGCGUGUAGGCGGGACGGCACGUCUGUCGCUGAAAUCCCCCGGCUCAACCGGGGAACGGGCGCGGAUACGACCGUCCUGGAGGGGCGUAGGGGGACCUGGAACUUCCGGUGGAGCGGUGAAAUGCGUUGAGAUCGGAAGGAACGCCCGUGGCGAAAGCGAGGUCCUGGACGCUUACUGACGCUGAGACGCGAAAGCCAGGGGAGCAAACGGG